GGGGGGGGGUAAUUUAGGGACGGCGGGGACUGUCGCUCUUACCUGCUGAUCUUAAGCAUAUCAAUAAGCGGAGGAAAAGAAACUAACAAGGAUUCCCCUAGUAACUGCGAGUGAAGCGGGAAGAGCUCAAAUUUAAAAUCUGGUCGCCUUUGGUUGCCCGAGUUGUAGUCUGGAGAAGCGUUUUCCGUGUUGGACCGUGUACAAGUCUCUUGGAACAGGGCGUCAUAGAGGGUGAGAAUCCCGUCUUUGACACGGACUACCAAUGCUUUGUGAUGCGCUCUCAAAGAGUCGAGUUGUUUGGGAAUGCAGCUCAAAAUGGGUGGUAAAUUCCAUCUAAAGCUAAAUAUAGGCGAGAGACCGAUAGCGAACAAGUACCGUGAGGGAAAGAUGAAAAGCACUUUGGAAAGAGAGUUAAACAGUACGUGAAAUUGCUGAAAGGGAAACGCUUGAAGUCAGUCAUGUCUGCCGGGACUCAGCCUUGCUUCUGCUUGGUGCACUUCCUGGUUGGAUGGGCCAACAUCAAUUUUGACCGUUGGAGAAAGGCUUUGGGAAUGUGGCACCUUUGGGUGUGUUAUAGCCCUUUGUCGUAUACGGCGGUCGGGAUUGAGGACUGCAGCACGCCUUUAUGGCCGGGGUUCGCCCACGUACGUGCUUAGGAUGUUGGCGUAAUGAGCUUUAAGCGACCCGUCUUGAAACACGG
rnacentral:rRNA from 1 species